GGCAAGAGAUUUUUUUUCUAAGACCUCCAAAGUACAGGAAACAAAAGUAGAAAUAGACAAAAGAAAUUGUUUCAAACUAUGAUGCAUCAAUUCCAUGAAACAAACAGCAAAAAAAAAGACAAUUUUCACAAUGGAAAAAUUCCACAAGUUGUUCAGGUAACUAAUAUCCAACAUAUCCAGGAACUUCUUUUAAGAUAAAUUUAAUGUUUUUUUUUUUUUGUUUUUCGAGACAGGAUUUCUCUGUGUAGCUUUUGGAGCCUAUCCUGGCACUUGCUCUGGACACCAGGCUGGCCUCGAACUCACAGAGAUCUGCUUGCCUCUGCCUCCUGAGUGCUGGGAUUAAAGGCGUGCAUCACCAAAGCCUGGCGAUAAAUUUAAUCUUAUUAACAGUUUUUCAUUUUUUUUUACAUACUGACCAGUUUCCCUUCCCUCCUUUUCUUUUGCCCCCCACCCCAGGUCCAAUAUACCUGCCUCCCCAUCCACUUCUCAGUCUCUAUUCAGAAAGAAGCAGGCGUCCGAUGAGCUUGAACAAAGCAUGGCAUAUCAAGUUAAAGGCAGGACCAAGCUCCUCUCCCUGCAUCAAAGUUGGUGAAAGUAAUCCAGCAUGGAGAACAGGUUCCCAAAAGCCAGAUAAGAACCAAGGAUAGAUCCUGUUCUCACUGCUAGAAGCCUCACAAAUAGACCAAGCUACAUACUGUUACACACAUGCAAAGGGCCUAGGUUGGUCCCAUGCAGGCUCUCUAACCUUUGGUCCAGAGCCCAUGAUAAACCGCAAAAUAAUCCAAUUUUGAAUGAAUUUUUUCAACAUCUGCAUAUGAGAAAGAAUAUUUUGUAGUUGUUUCGUUGUUUCUCUGUGUUUGUUUCAUUUACCACAAUGUCUGCUGGUUCCAUCCAUUUUGCUGCAUUUUGCUGAUAAUGUGACAUGUUGUUAUCCCUCUCUUUCUCUUUUUUGAGACAAGUGUAGACUGCACAAGUAAGGAUCAUCUUGAUUUUGGUGUAAGAAAUUCAAUCAGUUAUCAAUUUAGGAUGGAACAAUGCCCCCAUUAAACUAUUGCUAAUUGAAAAUACCAUAAAACUGGGAUGCACAUCUAGUGCAACUGAUUGAGCAUCUUAGCUAAGUGAUUCAGGACUCUGUAGCAUUGUUAUCCUCAUGAACUCAAGUUUAGCUCUGAGAUGCAGCUCACUGUUGCUAUUGCCCAAUAAAGUUAUUAUAUAUAUACAUAUAUAUCAUAUAAUAUAUACAUAUAUUUAUAUCAUAUAAUAUAUAUCAUACAUAUAGUUAUAAUAUUAUAUCUCAUGCCACCAGGAGAGAUCACUUUCAGAAUUUAAAGAAGAGUUUCUACUAAAAGUGUACCAUCACAUCCCCAUUGUAAAGUAGACAAAUUCUAAAUGUAAAAUUCAUAACUCAGGAGCUGUUUGUAGACUCUGAGCUGGAGGGCUGAAGAAGAUAAAAUCUCCUGGCUAGAGCUUCAAACACACUUGCAAUCUUGCUUAGACUCAGACUAUGCCCCAGGCUGGCAAUCAACACCAUUCUUUCCACACACUCCAUCCCCUACCCUGGUCUGGGCUCUACCAUCACAGUACUCUGAAUCAGUCUGAACUAUCCCAUCAUUGCCUUAUGAACACUGAAUACACUUGGAGGUAGGAACAAAGGCAAGAACUAAGAGUCCCUUUCUUUAUGUGCAGGAUCUGUCCCAGGAACCCCAGGUUUCUUUGAUUUACAAUGAAGAUUGAAAAGUAGAGACCAAAUUAUCAUAGGGAUUGGAUAUGAGUAAUACCUGGAUAAAAUAAACACUUGAUAAAUAAUAAUCAUUCUACCUUCCUUUGUUUUCUAGUUCCCAUUUUCUUUAGUUUAAAAUAAAGUUGAACUUAAUAAACUAAGGAGAAAUCCUCCAAAUGAUACUGACAGCCAAUGUGGAAAAGGCACAGCUUUGACUCUUAUCCUAAAAGCUUAGGAGCUUUUGGGAGAAAAGCACACAAGAUUUUCUUGCAGCUUAGCCCUAGGUCUGGCACACAGUGUACAUUACAUAUGGAAUUUUGCCACCAAAUUUUUUGGUGUGUGUGUGUGUGUGUGUGUGUGUGUGUGUGUGUGUGUGUGUGUGUGUGUGUUUAUACCAUUUGCAAAUAGUAUAUAUAGUCCCCAAGGAAAAAUAGAUAGACACUCAGUUUAAACUGUGAAAGACUUAAAAUACAAAUAAUGAACUAGUCUGUGACAAGUUAGUUUCAUCUCUACACAGCUUUCCAGCUCUUGUCUUGCUCUAUAGAUAAUCACCAUGCAAUUACCUUAUCUACCAUCUAACCCUCGAGUGUCUGUUGAUUAUCAUAGGAGGGAUUAGCUAUCAUUUCAUAAAAAUCAAAGAACAAAUUAUUUUGUUUCCCUGCACUGCUACCACCCAAGAGCAGUCAGUCUGUGUGCCUUUCCUUAGUAGCAUUGCAUCUAUAAUUUACACAUAAAGCUAUCAUACACUUAUCAUCUCAGACAAUAUGCCCAGGGAUAAUGUGGAAAUUAUGCUCUUUUGUGUAACUGGGAAGGUCUCCAAGAUGAGUGCCAUUUCUUGGAACAGCAGAAUUCUCUUCUCACAUGAGCUACAUGACAGAGGAGUGUUACACAGCUCACCCAUGGAUCCUGGCAGCCAAAUGACGCGGCAGAGUUCUGGUUCUGAAUGAUGUAAUUGGAAAUCCCUGCCGAGCAAUAACUUCUCAAUGUGCAUGAUUGAAAUUAAUGUCUCACUUCUAUUCAGGGAGAGUUGAGCUGCCAAUGAUUUAAUUUUUUUCUUUUAGGAGAGAGGGAUUUAUCCUAGAGAAAAAUUCUAAGGGGUGUCUUAUGUGCCUGCUUGUGGCAGAGAGGCAUUCCUUUUGUUUUUCUGCCUAGUUCUGUGAACUGUAUGGACUUAGUCUGUCUUACAGCUGUUGGUAUCUGUGCCUGUGUGCACUCACAUGUGAAUUUGCUCAGUUGCUGUGAAAUUAUGAGGCAGUGCCUUGGCCAUCAGACAUAAACCCUUAGUUGCUUAGUGGUCCAACCAUGGAGCCAAUGUCCCCAGCACAGUGGCUCUGGUCUGGCAGAUUCCAAAGGCAGGGCCUUUGGUGAUUUUAAAAUAAUUAUUGGAUGUGUUGUCUAUGACCCACUGAAGUUCAUGCAUGUAUUUUCUUUUCUUUAGCUCGAGUUCUAUGGUUUUGCCACUUUUUAAUAUAAUUUCUUAUAAAUAGUGUUUAUUUGUACCAUUUUCCUAGUAAAAACGUAUUUCACUGGAUUUUUUUCAGUGUUGUUCUAUAGCAGUACCAAACAAGGAUUUUCACCUAGAGGGAAAUAAUACCAAUUAUUUUAGGGAUUGGCAUUUUGACUGUUCCCUCGUGAAUUUAAAUGUGUGUGGAAUCCACCAUUUUACCCACCAUUAACCUUUACUGGGAUUCUCUAGAAUAUUCCAAAAGGAAAAUGCCUUUAUGCGAAUGAUGAGCUGGGCAACAAAAGGAGAAGAUGUAGAAUUUAUGAGAUCCAAGCUGUUUCUACAGCACCUGCAAAACCUCUGGCUCAGCUGCCCUGCUCAGGGGUUCAGUACUGCACAAGUGGAAACCAGGCUUCCUCCUAAGAGCUUGUGAACAACCAUUGUUACCCCCUUCAAACUGUUUUCAGACAGUUUGAAGGCCCUUCCUUUCCUGAGAACUACCAAGUGUCCAUGGCUCCACUGAUUUAGCUCUUAGUGUUAGAAUCUCUCACCUGGAGGUGAGCUUGACUUGUUCUUCCAUCCCCCUGCCACUUGUUCCAUGCUCUCUUUCCAGGCAUCAGUCUCAAUUGCAAUAUUUCACUCCAGUCAAGGCUCCAUGUUCUCUCCCAUCUCACUUUUAGUAUUUAGAAUAUGGUACCUUCAGGUAAGUUAUCCCUCCCUUAGACUUUCCCUCAGCAUUAUAGUUUGAUAAUUUUGCCACACUGAGAUCACUCCUUAAAGCUAUAUUUUAGCCUUUUUUCAGUGAUAACUUUGGUUAUGCUUUAUCUUUCUUUCCCACGGAUAGACAAAGAUUAUACCUUCCACUCUUGAUCUUAAUGCAACAAAUGCUUAGUAUGUGAUAGCGAUUUUAAAAUGCCAUUUCUUUUCUUCUUAAGAGGAAUGAAGCAAUCAAGUCACAUGACAAGAAUUUAUAAUUAAGUCAUUGUUAUUGCUCUAAUUGUUAUAAGGCCAGCUAGCUAGGAUCAGAUGUUUUGGUGACCAAAGUGAACUUGAAUGCAGGGGUCACUCGGGGUUCAUCUCAAAAGACAGUGAAAAUCAAGGCCUAUGAAUGAAGGUGAAUCUGAGAUGGACUCUGGUCAUUUGGCCUUUACAAAUAAGUAAGGGAACUGAGCAGCGUGUCUGAAGUGACUUGUGUUAGACACUGCAUUAACUCUAAGCCUGUAAUAACCCAUCAAUCAUUCCUACUUGUCUCCUGUGAUAUUGACGCUGGUUCCAUCCCCAUUUCUAGUGAAGAAAGUGGGAGAGAGAUUGGACAACUUGUUUGAGGUUACAGAGUUGGUUGGUCAAGAUACUCAUAGGAUUGAUUAACUCAACUAUUGUAUUUCCUUCUCUUUUUAAAAGAAAAUCAUUGACAUCUUUGCAUUCUGCCUAGCAAGCAGGAGCAGAAGAUGAACACUUGUAACAAUCUAAUGACAUAAGAAAAGAUGAUAGAUUAUCUUAUUUGUGUAUUGCCUUUAAAAUUUGGGUUCUUUAAUUCCCUUCUCUCCCCUCUCCCCACCUCCUUUCUCUCUACCAUGCCGUCCUGUCCUUGCUUGCCUCCACUUGAGUCAUGGUCUUACUAUAUAGCCAAGAUUGGCCUUGAAUUGAUGACUCCCUUACUUCAGUCUCUCAAGUUCUGAGAUUGCAGACAUGCCAUGGUGUCUGACCUGGUAAACCAGAAGCUUAGCACUGUGCUUGUCACUAUGGUUUCAAUACUAGUGAUUAUGAAAUGACUUCCUUAUAUUUAUAUAGCAUCCUUGGGAGCUUUUUCUUACACGCACAAUUUAAUUCACUUAAAUGCCUUGUAAGGGAAAAACCAUGGUUUCCAUGCUGAAAGUGUGAAGGCAGCACUAGGGCUCUCAACCAUAGGGCAGAUAACUAAUCCAGGGACAGACACUAGAUUCUCUAACUGUGUAUCAUCUAUGUCAUUAUAGCGUCUCUCAUUUGUUUUCAACUGUGGGGCAGUCUGCUCUGGUAUAUAAGACUGUAAGAAGGGUCUGGUAUGUACAUUUGUAAGAAGAGUCUAAGCUCCAUUCAAUAUAUGCUGAAAUGGUUUGUUGCAAUGUGCCCUGUUUCAGUGAACUUUAUUGUGACUUUUAGAAAAAAAAUCAGUGAACAGGGAGACUCUUUCCUAGUAAUAUAAGACUCCUAGUAAUGUAAAGUCUCACCUACAUGACUGUAUAAACACAACUUUAAAAACAAUGACACCAUUGGACAUGCCAAAGUGGACAGGGAAUAGCUCAUGAGGCCUCAAUCCUACACAAAGAACUACAGACAGAAGAGGAAUGUCAGGAGCAGGACAGUGGUCUUCCCCAAGGAAAAGCACACCAAAUGCUUGUCCAGUGCCUUAUAGUCAGUCCUGAAAACAUUCAUACAAUUAACAUUCUGUAGAUUGAGCAAGUUAUAUUUAAGACUAUAUUUGUAUAUUCAUAUCCAUAUACACAUACAGUAACAAUAAAAAAGAAGUCAUGAAAACCAAGACUCUGGUCUAUAACAAAUGACACAAGCCCACAAGACCUAAGAUGGAUUCCUGCUCACCUUCAAGCAGGCCUUUCAUUCUUAAUUGAUAAAAGGGUAUGUGAUGUCCCUGCCCCACCUACCUCUCAUUGCUGUUCUGUGUGCUCUGAUGGUGUGUGAGUUUAUCAGGUGUUUCAGGGCAUCUCCAUCACAUUUAUUCUUUAUAUAAGGAAUGAUGGAUCAACAGUUCCUGCAUUGUUUUCUUAAUGACAAAUUGAGUGAUUCUAUAGUCCAACAAGAAUGGCCCAUGUAGUGUCAAUGGAGAAGAUUGGACAACAGCAGAUGCCCUUGUUCAUAUUGCUUGGUUGUUAUGGUUUGGGUAGGUGUACUCUAUCUUCCUUUGAUUACAUUCUUAGCUCCUUGUAGUGCUUGAAUGGCAGGACUUUUGUGGAUAUGUGUCCCAAGGAUGAAUACUGAGGCUAAGAUAAGGUUUAUUUUGAGUAUGGACUGACUUUCUCUCAGGAAGAGUGGAAUGUAUUUACUAUUGUCUUUAUCACUAAGCAUGGCCAUCAGGGUGUCCCAUGCUGGUUUCAUUCUGUUGAUCCAUCAUGGUAAUAUAAAAUGUAUUGUACCUUUUAACUUGUAUUGAAUUAGACAGCAUACACACCAGUGGCACUGGUGAGGUUUUGUAGUAAUGGAGUAAGCCUUUAUUAAGAGGUGUAGAUGUUUGCUAGCUUUUGUGCUUCUCAUUUAUUUGUGGCACUGGUUGGAACCCAGUGGUGACUUUUCAUUCUCAAAGCUCUUCAGAACUAAGAACACUUAUUCUAUUUCACUUCUUUCUUGCAAUUAAAGAUGACAUAGUGUUUGAGUAGAGCAUGACUCAAUAACCAGAACACACCCUACACACACACUCACAUACCACACACACCACACACUCACAUACAACACACACCACACACACACAUACCACACACACACACACACACACACACACUUACACACGAGACACACACACUACUCACACAUACACACACACACACACACACACACACACACACACACACACACACCACACAUAAACACAACACACACAUACACCACACACCCACACACCACACACCAUACACCCACACACCACAUACUACACACACAUACAUAUAUCAUACACAUACAUAUACAUACCAUAACCCACACACACACACCACACAUACACAUAUACACACAACACACACACACACAUGCACACACCAUACACAUACAUACCAUACACCCACACACCAUACCACACACACAUACACCAGUCCCACGCAUCACACACACAUACAUACACCACACACACAUACACAUACCAUACACACCCAUACACACACCACAAAUACACACCCCCACCCACACAUACACACGCACACACCACACACAGAAAGCAUGUAGAUCUCUAUAAAAGUCUCCCUUACUGCCCUGGCCCAAUGCCUAAUUCACAUAUAUCCUAUCCAGUCGUGGCUGAAGAGGGACCCUUCUGAUAGGUUUCCUAUGUGUUCUUUAAGAUAAAACAAAAAAUUAUUCAUGUUUAUGUGUGUAUGCCUGUGUGAGUGUAUACACAGAUGUGUGUAAGUCUUGAAAAAGCCAGAAAAGGGCAUCUGAUCCCUAUAACUACAGUUACAGGUGGGUGUGAGUGGCCCAAAAUGGCUGGGAACCAAACUUGGGACCUCUGAAAGAACAGUGAGUUUCCUUUUCUACUGAGGCAUCUCUCUAGUGCCUUCUCUGUCUACAUAGAGAGAUUUAUAUUUUAUAAGUGCAACUCAGUCUGAGCAAAUACAUAUACAUGCUUUAUUCUCCAAAAACCCCAGAAAUGGUAAAAUAACAUGUAUGGAUUGGAGCACUGAAUAUUGCUUCUUAUUAUAGCUAAACUUCCUUUUUAGGCAAUACUAGUCCAUGGGACUUUGUGGGAUUAUUCCUUUGAAGGGCGAAUCCUAAGGAAGACUUCUGGAUACUUCUAGAAUCUUCUUCAGAGAUCAGUGUGGAAAGCUUGGUAAUUGGAUUUAAAGAGUUGAACAAAUAAGUGAAGGGUAUAUAGUUGUUUAUCUUGGUCUUGAAGAUGGGUCCUCAAACUAUUUCGUGAUAGGACUCCUCGUACAUCCUGCUAAUGCCCGUUCUAUUUUCUAAUAAAAUGCUGUGUAUGGAUGUUUUAAUAUCUCUCCCAACUGACCACAAUGCUGGUGCUCUGAUUUAUGAUUUGGCUUUCAAGAAAACUGUGAAGCUCUCAUCAUCAAGCCAGAUGGCUAGAUUUUUGAGGAAAAAUCACUGCAAAGUUGGUAUGUAUCACAGAAACUUAAACACCCAGGCUUCUUCUGCUCGCCUCUGCUCUUUUUAAGUGCUUGGUUUUUGGAGAGAAAUCAGUGGAUUGAUGUGAUUUAUGCUAAUGUACCCAGCAUGUAUCCAGCAGAGUUUGAUAUAGCUUCCAGUUACUAAUGACAAAAAAAUAAAAAUUGAAACCUAAUUUAAAAAAUAUAGAAGUUAGAGUCCUAUCAUUAAAAGUAAAUUAUAUAUUGAACCAUUUGAUAUUUCUUAAUUCUUUACCCAUUUACAAAAUCACAGACUGGUCACAGAUACUGUUUCAGAUGGUUUUUAGUCAUGUAAAUUAUUUCUUCCCUGACUGUGUAAUUACAUGAUGGACUGAUUUCUAGAGUAUCAUAUACUUAAUGUGGGUUUCUAAAAAAUGAUUUAAUCAUAUAAUUGCUAGUUUAUCAAGUAGAAAAUAUAGGUCUGAGAACACUAUCAUUAUGUCAUUAUUUUCCACAAAAGACUGUGAAACACACUGAAGAGGCCAUUAUGAGACAAAUAAUAGUUUUCUAUAGUGUCUAAAUUUGCAAGGAUUUAAAUAAAUAAAAAAGAAUAAAACAGAAAAUGUCUGAAGGUAAGAUGUUUCAGUUCUGUUCCAGGCAAUUACAGCAUAUCUUUGUGUAAAACCAGACAGAAGAAAAGAAGAUGUGUGACCAGAGCCGAGAGACUGCUGGGUGAUCUGGUGAAGGAAUGACAUUAACAUAGAAAAGAGAUGCUGAUGGGGGAAAACAGAAUAGAUGGAUUCCUGGAGAAGAAAAGCAAUGAGAGUUCUCCCAGCCUUGCAACCAGCAGGAAAUGUGGAAGCUAGGAUGAGCACACAGGCACAAAGUGCUCAAGGAUAUUGGGUUAUCGCCCAGGGCUUCUGAAGAAGCAAGUGUUUGAUUCUUGAGGAACUCAAGAUUGUUAAUUAAACCCAUUUUGUGGUUUUACUUUUCAUCAGAAAUCAUUUAUGAUGAUCAGACUGUUAUUAUUAUUGUUAUUACAACAGCUGCAGUGAAGAAGUAGAGAAGAUAAAAUACAGAUGGGGUAGACUAAAGAUGGAAGAGUCUAAUAAAAGACAGCAAGCUAUUCUUCACCUACAACAAUAAGCAACUGUAAAAUAACUUGGUUAAUAAUGAAAAUUACAGGGCAAUUUUAAACUAGGGAACAGAAAAUCCUUAAAUAUUUGAAGGAUUUUUCCAUCAGUCCCCUACCUCUACCCCACACUACUUUCAGAUGACAAAUUAUGCUCUAUCUUCCCUCUUAGGCAUACUGUCUAGCUCUUGGGAAUAAAAGGCAAACUGUAGUUCUUCUUACUUCAACUCGAUGUCAAACACAGAAGAAUUCUAAGUAUCAAAACUGUUAAUUUGAAUUCCAGGCUGUCCUCAGCCAUAACUCAACAGGGACAUGUGGUCUUGUCAUCUUAGGGGCUUUGAUUACUUGUAAUUGUUGUGGUAAUUCUUCCAUUUUGGGGGUGUGCUGUUUUUGUACUUAGUCUUCUUGGUGAGGCUCUCACCAAGUCCUUUCAGGAACCACAGCUGUGCAAUGUGACUAAUUUAUCUUUCAUCUUACUUUACACCUUUUGCUUCGAGCAUUUAUGUUAUAUUCACACCUAUUAGCAAACUGCAUAUCUUCUUAUGCCUACCCUGGUAUUAUAUACACAUUUUUUGUCACCCACUGUUAACUUGGCUUCACAAUAGCUAUCUGCCUAGCUCUUUAGUUUUCUUUUCUCAGACUCUUUGCCCUGUAUCACUUGUUGGUUGGCCUAGUAAAACUGUUGCUCUGCCAAAAAGCCAUGCAAAAAAAAAAUGACAUUUCUGUUUGAAAUUGCUGCUAGACACACCAGACUAUAGAGGAAUGAUACAGAUAAGAAAAAUAGAGUUCAUUUCUGGAAAGUUAUGUUCUCAGCUUAAAGAGGCAUAUCCAGGCAGCAGCUUGUGCAGUGGCCAUUUCAAGCUGUUAAUUCUGUAUCCUUUUCAUUUGUUGUAGGAAAUAAAGACAGAUUUAUCAAAC
ensembl:lncRNA